AAAAUGUGAGUGUUGGAGCUGGAAAAGGCUGUUAGAAAGCCUGUAGCACAUGGACUUUUGACCCUCAUGAGGGCUUUAGUGAUUUCCGUCUCAUUCAACGCCCUCUUCCUCUUCAGGCCGGAGACUAUUAUCUCGAUACUCAUUAUUCUCUCGCUAAUGGGCGCUGACGUCUUCUAAGGAGCGGCCAAACAGACAGCUCUGCUCCCGUCUACUCACCUCGGGGUUGCCCGCCAUGAUGGUGUAGUUGCCGUCGUCAUCGAGCGAGGCUGCAGCGGUGUGCAGGGAGCAGGUUCCAUCAGCGUCGCGGCUGAUCCUGUAGUGCUCGCUCCUCUUGGAGAUUUGCUUGCCAUCUUUAAACCAGUAGACCUGUGACACAAGACAAGGACAGAGGGGAACCAUCAGACAAAGUUAGGAUUUUUCAGUUCAUCCUGAAGCCUGUCAUCACCAUGCCAUUAAUGUGUACAGAACCAGGCAGGCAACUCUUUCAGGCCAGGCCAGUGUGUGUUCUCGCAAAGGGCCUCCCCUUAUCACAACACGGAGCAUAUGUGCAACAUCUACACCCUCCGUCAUCAACAUCACACAUCAGCAACUCCCAAAGGAAAGAGAGCCAAGUCAUGUUUUAAAUGCCUCAAAAUGACCAAAUAUGCAUCUAAUGUUAAUAACUGCCACAGCAUCACCGCCAACAAUGUUUAAUCAUACAGGGCGAUGACAUUCUUUCGGUAAACAUGUUCGACCUCCCACCUUUGGUUUGGGGUCUCCGUGGACCUUGCAGGAGAAGGUGACGGGCAUGCCCUCGAAGACUUUGUAG